CGAAAACAAAAUGGCGCCGACGUUAUACCAGAGGCUUCCUUAUGCAAUAAAAAGCCGGUUGGAUCCAGAGUGGUUUUUAAAACUAGGCAUUUAAGACUUCAGUGCCCUAACAUAUGACUUUGAAGUUCGAGAUAGAAUAUGAAUGUCACAACCGACCGAUGUUUGUUCGGGUUUGAAACUGCAGAGACUGAAGAGAAGCAGGAGAGUUGUGUGUUUUUAUCUGUAACUGUUCCCCUUAGUAAUGCAGACAGAUACAAUGUUGAGUCUGGAGUGGAUAAUUUAUUGUUUUAGGUGGACUGCAACAAUCAUGAUGAUGAAAAAGCCACCGAGCAACCAUUAGAUAGCUGUUUACAUUUAGAAUGUUCAGUUGAAAUUGUUGUCAACCAUAAUAAUUAUAUGAGUGCAAAGUAUGUGACAACAAAUAUAGGACUAGAACUGUCUUCAAACGAUAUUUAGUAAGCCACAUAUUUGUAAUAUUUGUUUAAGCUUGUAAAAAACAUUUUUUGCAUCAAAAUGUAAGGUUUGUUGAAGAUACCAAAAACAUAAUUACAAUUUGUGUUGUGUAUUGUCAUUGUCUAUAGAUUUUGUUGAAGUUUGUCAAGGCCAAUGUUACUGAAAUUAUAGAGAUUUGGCGGUUACCGUAGUUCAAUAAUGUUUGGAAAUAUGUAAUUGAUUAUGUGCAUGUUGGUAGACCGCAUCAUUUAUCACUCAUGAAAAUAGUGAAGCUGUGCCGACAGUGAUAUACAGUGUACUACUUACUGGAAUCCUGUAUUUGUCGAGUUCCAUAAUUAUUUUCUUAAUACUGUUAGUAGACAGUGUUCAUAUCAAUUAAAAAUAAAUCAACAUAAAUAUAUGAUAUAUUGUCAUGUUUGCAAUGUACAUAAUUGUUACCAUGUCAGACAUAUUUUAAUUUUAAAUGACAUAAUUUUAAAAUUAAUGUUAUGAACUCUUAAAUAUUUUGAUAAAAGUUUAUUCAUUUCUCUCUAUAUUUAAUUAAUUUUAGAAAGUAUUUGAAACAAAGAUUUGAUUUGAUUAACAAAAGAGUUUCAUUACGUGGCAAAAGUUUAUGGUUUGAGGUA